GACGAACGCUGGCGGCGUGCUUAACACAUGCAAGUCGAACGGAAAGGCCCUGCUUUUGUGGGGUGCUCGAGUGGCGAACGGGUGAGUAACACGUGAGUAACCUGCCCUUGACUUUGGGAUAACUUCAGGAAACUGGGGCUAAUACCGGAUAGGAGCUCCUGCUGCAUGGUGGGGGUUGGAAAGUUUCGGCGGUUGGGGAUGGACUCGCGGCUUAUCAGCUUGUUGGUGGGGUAGUGGCUUACCAAGGCUUUGACGGGUAGCCGGCCUGAGAGGGUGACCGGCCACAUUGGGACUGAGAUACGGCCCAGACUCCUACGGGAGGCAGCAGUGGGGAAUAUUGCACAAUGGGCGGAAGCCUGAUGCAGCAACGCCGCGUGCGGGAUGACGGCCUUCGGGUUGUAAACCGCUUUCGCCUGUAACGAAGCGUGAGUGGCGGUAAUGGGUAAAGAAGCACCGGCUAACUACGUG
rnacentral:rRNA from 1 species